GGUUCGAUCAUGGCUCAGAUUGAACGCUGGCGGGAUGCUACACAUGCAGUCGAACGGCACCGGACUUCGGUCUGGUGGUGAACGGGUGAGUAAUGUAUCGGAACGUGCCUAGUGGCAGGGGAUAACUACGCGAAAGCGUAGCUAAUACCGCAUACGCCCUUCGGGGGAAGCGGGGGACCUUCAGACUCGCACUAUUGAAGCCGAUAUCGGAUUAGCUGGAUUGUGCAGGGUAACGGCUCACCAGGCGACGAUCCGUAGCUGGUUUGAGGACGACCAGCCACACUGGGACUGAGACACGGCCCAGACUCCUACGGGAGGCAGCAGUGGGGGAAUUUUGGACAAUGGGGAAACCCUGAUCCAGCCAUCCCGCGUGUGCGAUGAAGGCUUUCGGGUUGUAAAGCACUUUUGGCAGGAAAGAAACGGCACGGGAUAAUACCCCCGUGCAACUGACAGCCUGCCAGAAUAAGCGCGGCUAACUACGUGCCAGCAGCCGCGGUAAUACGUAGGUGCAAGCGUUAAUCGGAAUUACUAGGCGUAAAGCGUGCGCAGGCGGUUCGGAAAGAAGGAGUCUCUUGAAAUCCCAGAGCUUAACUUUGGAACUGCAUUUUUUUAACUACCGAGCUAGAGUGUCAGAGGGAGGUGGAAUUCCGCGAUGUGGCAGUGAAAUGCGUAGAUAUGCGGAGGAACACCGAUGGCGAAGGCGGCCUCCUGGGAUAACACUGACGCUCAUACUUUAGCGAUGGGGAGCAAACGGGAUUAGAUACCCUGGUGAUCCACGCCUAAACGAUGUCAACUAGCUGUUGGGGCCUUCGGGCCUUGGUAGCGCAGCUAACGCGUGAAGUUGACCGCCUGGGAGUACGGUCGCAAGAUUAAAACUCAAAGGAAUUGACAGGACCCGCACAAGCGGUGGAUGAUGUGGAUUAAUUCGAUGCAACGCGAAAAACCUUACCUACCCUUGACAUGUCUGGAAUCGAGAUUUGGGAGUGCUCGCAAGAGAACCGGAACACAGAUGCUGCAUGAAAAGCAGCGUCAGCUCGUGUCGUGAGAUGUUGGGUUAAGUCCCGCAACGAGCGCAACCCUCGUCAUUAGUUGCUACGAGGGCACUCUAAUGAGACUGCCGGUGACAAACCGGAGGAAGGUGGGGAUGACGUCAAGUCCUCAUGGCCCUUAUGGGUAGGGCUUCACGUC
rnacentral:misc_RNA from 1 species